rfam:Camelus ferus unplaced genomic scaffold scaffold1815, whole genome shotgun sequence.
AGGGAAAUAGCUCGGUGGUAGAGUACAUGCUUAGCAUGUACCAGGUCCUGGGUUCAAUCCCCAGUACCUCCA